UUAGAUGUCCGGGGCCGCACGCGCGCUACACUGAAGGAAUCAGCGUGUGCUCUCCCCGUCCGUCAGGACCGGGUAACCCGUUGAACCUCCUUCGUGCUAGGGACAGGAGCCUGAAAUUCUUCUCCUCGAACGAGGAAUUCCCAGUAAGCGCGAGUCAUAAGCUCGCGUUGAUUACGUCCCUGCCCAUUGUACACACCGCCCGUCGCUACUACCGAUUGAAUGAUUUAGCGAGGUCUUCGGAUCGGUGCUCGGAACGACCUUCCGGUCGGGCCGGCGUGCCGAAAAGAUGACCGAACUUGAUCAUUUAGAGGAAGUAAAAGUCGUAACAAGGUUUCC
rnacentral:rRNA from 1 species